GCCGGGUGCAGUGGCACGUGCCUGUAGUCCCAGCUACUCAGGAGGCUGAGGUGGGAGGAUCACUUGAGCCCAGGAGUUCUGGGCUGUAGUGCGCUAUGCUGAUCGGGUGUCCGCACUAAGUUCAGCAUCAAUAUGGUGAUGUCCCUGGAGCAGGGGACCACCAGGUUGCCUAAGGAGGGGUGAACUGGCCCAGGUUGGAAAUGGAGCAGGUCAAAACUGUGCUGAUCAGUGGUGGGAUUGCGCCUGUGAAUAGCCACUGCACUCCAGCCUGGGCAACAUAGCGAGACCCUGUCUCU
rnacentral:SRP_RNA from 1 species